rnacentral:RNase_P_RNA from 1 species
AUCUGUGAUGGAUCUAUCGCUCUCAAUUCAUUGAGGGAGGAAAGUCCGGACAGCGUAGAGUACCGCACCAUCUAACAGAUGGGCUUUGCUUUCAGCAGGGACAGACAGUGUCACAGAAACUAUACCGUCUCGCCGAAGGGUGGGAUAAGGGUGAAAACGUGCGGUAAGAGCGCACGCAUGGUCAGGGUAACCGGUCAUGGGAUAAACCUUGCGGGCUGAAAUGCCAUGUACACUCCAAUCUCGUCAGGCAUUCGUGCAUGAUAAGCCCGGCUGCUCGCCGGCGUGUACCAACAGUUGGAGGGGGUAGGCAGAUAGAGCUAUAGUAGCAAUGCUAUGGCCCAGAUAAAUGAUAGGUGUUCCUGAUUCAUUAGGAAUGACAGAAUCCGGCUUAUACAUCACAGAUGCAC